CUCCAGAUGUUGCUGAACUACAACUCCCAUGAUUCUCAUGCAUAUCUAUUUCAUUCAUAGAUUCAUGGGAGUUGUAGUUCAGCAACAUCUGGAG